rnacentral:rRNA from 1 species
CCUACGGGGGACAGCAGUGGGGAAUAUUGCACAAUGGGGGAAACCCUGAUGCAGCGACGCCGCGUGAGUGAAGAAGUAUUUCGGUACGUAAAGCUCUAUCAGCAGGGAAGAAAAUGACGGUACCUGACUAAGAAGCCCCGGAUAACUACGUGCCAGCAGCCGCGGUAAUACGUAGGGGGCAAGCGUUAUCCGGAUUUACUGGGUGUAAAGGGAGCGUAGACGGCAGCGCAAGUCUGGAGUGAAAUCCCAUGGCUUAACCAUGGAACUGCGUUGGAAACUGUGCAGCGAGAGUGCAGGAGAGGGAAGCGGAAUGCCUAGUGUAGCGGUGAAAUGCGGAGAUAUUAGGAGGAACACCAGUGGCGAAGGCGGCUUACUGGACUGUAACUGACGUUGAGGCUCGAAAGCGUGGGGAGCAAACAGGAUUAGAUACCCGAGUAGUC